rnacentral:tRNA from 1 species
GGGCCCGUAGCAUAGUCUGGUGGUGCGCACGACUGAUAAUCGUGAGGUCCGGAGUUCAAAUAUCCCAGAGGGAGACCACAAAUUCCUCUGGAUUUGGGAGUCUCCGCGGGCCCA